rnacentral:lncRNA from 1 species
CACCCAAAGUAUUGUAUAUAAAUUACAUACUCUUCAUAAGCCCGAGUUGAUUAGUCCUCCUACGUUAGAGCUUAAUCAUUUAACACUAAAAGUUGGGCAGUGUAGAGAACUCGCGAAACUGCUAUGAGUCUCAAAAGGCUCCAACAAGAAGCAUCUCAAAAUUGAAAAAUAUAGAUUCUAAAGGUUACUCAAACAGAAGAUGCAAUUUCUUUAACUAAAAAUACUCUAGCAUAGACCAACUUAUAAUGUACUACAAAUCUAAAUAGGUUAU